GAACGAACGCUGGCGGCAGGCUUAACACAUGCAAGUCGAACGGUUGUAGCAAUACAGCAGUGGCGCACGGGUGAGUAACGCGUGGAUAUCUGCCUUUUGGUUCGGAAUAACUCCGGGAAACUGGAGCUAAUACCGGAUGGUUCCUGCGGGAUAAAGAUUUAUCGCCAAAAGAUGAGUCCGCGUACGAUUAGCUAGUUGGUGAGGUAAUGGCUCACCAAGGCGACGAUCGUUAGCUGGUCUGAGAGGACGAUCAGCCACACUGGGACUGAGACACGGCCCAGACUCCUACGGGAGGCAGCAGUGGGGAAUAUUGGACAAUGGGGGCAACCCUGAUCCAGCCAUGCCGCGUGAGUGAUGAAGGCCUUCGGGUUGUAAAGCUCUUUUGGCGGGGACGAUGAUGACGGUACCCGCAGAAUAAGCCCCGGCUAACUUCGUG
rnacentral:rRNA from 1 species